rnacentral:tRNA from 1 species
UCCCCGAUAGCUCAAUGGUAGAGCAAUCGGCUGUUAACCGAUGUGUUAUAGGUUCGAGUCCUGUUCGGGGAGC